AACAUUUCACAUGUUAAUAUAAUCCUUUAUUGAUAAAGCAACAUCAGAUGAACAGGAGCGCUGUUUAAUCCCAAUAUCAGACCAACAUCACGAUUACAAGUGUGAUAUUGCUUUUAUACAACAGUUUCAUGAACAAGAAUCUAUUAUUGAGUUUUUAUAGAUUCUACAUUUCAAAAUGCAAAAAAACACUUUUCUACAUGUUUUUCUGCUCAAUAGUUAUUUUGAGUGUUUCUGGAGUCACAGGAUCAUCAAACUCCUCUGAGGACGAUGAACAUCUGCUCUAUUGUGAGAGAAACACAAUCACUCCACCUGAUGAUGAAAUAUGAGUUUAACUCGCUCAGAUUCACUGUUUGACUUCAGUAAAUGACACUGUUGAGGCAGUUUGUGGAAUAAAUCAGGAGUUCAGGAGCUUCUCCAGGUUUCUGUAAGGACCAGCUGAAGAAGUUUCUCCUGUUCCAGUUUCUCUCCAUUGGAUCAGAGAGGCUGUGAUUGGUGCAGAGGAGGGAGAGGCGUGUCUGAACUGAACUGUUGAUCAGGACUACAAUUAAAACAGCAGCUGAUAUAAAACUCUUACUGUCUGCAGUAUAUAGUAUGAAUACAGUGUAUAGUGUACAAAUGACAUGUUAGGAUGAGAUACUCAAAUCAAAUAACCAUGGAGAAUUAUGAAAAUUAACAUCUAUUAUUAAUAAAAGGCGGCAACUGAAAUCA